AAAAAUUACUAAAGCUAAUUGAUAGUCAUUACAAUAAUUAAAACAGCUAAUAUUACUAAAACAAACAAUAUUGUCAAAUAGGACCUAAAUUGAAUACCCCUAAGGCCAAUUAUUCAAUUUUUUGUUUUAAAUCCAAAAAUUCUCCACAUCCGUAAUUAUUACAUAAUUAAAACAUAUAUAUAUAUAUAUGCAUAUAUUGAUUGUUCUAUAAAACAAAAAGAGCCUAAAUGUGUAAUGAGUAGGAAGGAGCUACAUAUUAGCUUAUUCCUGUGUAUAACAUAGUCUUCAAGCAAACCUUCUGACAAGUUGCAUUGCAUUGGCUAUUUUCAUAUAACACCGUUCCUUUUCAGUCAGCCUGCUAUCCACAAUAUCAGGUAAUAAAUACUGACAUUAUCCAGAUCGCCAAACAAAAUUAUAAAAGCUUACCUUAAGAGAUAAAUCAGAGCUUAUUAAUAUAUUAUUAUACAUCUUCCUUUAUUCAAGUAACGGAACAUGCAAAAAGUAAAUCACAAUUGCACAAAAGUAUAUGCUGUUGAUGUAGGAGUAAGAGUAACAACUUUGUUCAUAACGAAGACCGUCGCACCGUCGGAUUUGACCUGCAAAAUGGAAGUGUUUCAUUAUUUAUGGAAUGAUCUUUUCUUUCUUUUUUUUUUGUUUUUGUUUUUUUUUUUUUUUUUUAAAUGCAUUUCAAAUUUUAAUUUCAAUACAGAGCUCCAGUUUCUCAUUCCAUUGUUUAGCGGUAUAAGUAGAUGGAAGGAAAUUAGAAUAAGAUUUAAUGCAAACAAAGAUCAUUUGAUGGCAUAUGUGACUGAUAUGAUCCUAUUAAUGCACAACAUAAAACAACACAUAUAGAUUUUAUUUUUUCAUCAAUUAUAUUGUUCACCUUCCACAUCAUACCAAUUUUAACAAUUUAAUUUAAAAUAAUAAAAUUCAAUUUGUUAAAAAUCUGCAGUUUCGUGCAUUCCAUUUGAAUGUUUUUCUUUUUCUUUUUCUUUUUCUUUUUCCUGCUAAACUUGAUCUCUAAAAUAAAAAGAGAUCGAGAAUCUAAAUCAGCAAUAAAGAAAGUUGCCUGGCAGGUUGACAAAUGUGGUGAAAUUAGUAAUCAUUUUUUAUUCAUUAGAAGGUCCAAUUAACAAUAGACUCUUGUGGUCGAAAAGACUUAAAUUCGAACAUUUCACUGUUCAUAUUAAUGAAAAGAUCAAUCAAACCACACAAAAAUUACUAAAGCUAAUUGAUAGUCAUUACAAUAAUUAAAACAGCUAAUAUUACUAAAACAAACAAUAUUGUCAAAUAGGACCUAAAUUGAAUACCCCUAAGGCCAAUUAUUCAAUUUUUUGUUUUAAAUCCAAAAAUUCUCCACAUCCGUAAUUAUUACAUAAUUAAAACAUAUAUAUAUAUAUAUGCAUAUAUUGAUUGUUCUAUAAAACAAAAAGAGCCUAAAUGUGUAAUGAGUAGGAAGGAGCUACAUAUUAGCUUAUUCCUGUGUAUAACAUAGUCUUCAAGCAAACCUUCUGACAAGUUGCAUUGCAUUGGCUAUUUUCAUAUAACACCGUUCCUUUUCAGUCAGCCUGCUAUCCACAAUAUCAGGUAAUAAAUACUGACAUUAUCCAGAUCGCCAAACAAAAUUAUAAAAGCUUACCUUAAGAGAUAAAUCAGAGCUUAUUAAUAUAUUAUUAUACAUCUUCCUUUAUUCAAGUAACGGAACAUGCAAAAAGUAAAUCACAAUUGCACAAAAGUAUAUGCUGUUGAUGUAGGAGUAAGAGU
rnacentral:lncRNA from 1 species